rnacentral:lncRNA from 1 species
UGGGCUUGUGUUGGUUGGAACUAGACUUCUUAUGCGUGUGGUUUUUAUAUUCACUAUUCAUCUACUUUAUAGUUAACUCAUUUUUAAAUUUUUACACAUUUAUAUUUUUAAUUAAAAAAAAAAAGAAAAAAAAAUCUUACAAUCAGCAAUCCAAUUUAACUCCCUUUAUGAUUUACAACUCAAUCCUGUCUUAACAACAUUGGAGAUGUUUACAACAAACACAAGUACAUAUGAACCCCGGAGACAUGUAGAUUUGGUGGGAUAUCUAACAAGAAUAAAGGGGAUUUUAAUGGUAAAAGAAGACUCCCUGGGGGUAAACACCAGGCCCUAUAGUAAGAGGAGGAAGAAACAUAAAAGAUAAUGGAGCC